CGCUGACUGCAAGGAGCAUAAGGGCCCUCACUGCUGGACUCUGAAAUCCAUCACUGUGUUAGUCCCUGAGCCAUGUGCCCAUGGGCUGCUCCCAGCCAAUGCCUGAGUGCCCAGGAGUACUUAGACAGGCUGGUUGCUAGGAGACAGGGGAAUCUUCUGAUGAGCAGCACUGGCUCAGGACUCCCAACUACUUUGCCAAACUUCCCCUGGGACUGUAGGGCAAGUCUAAUAUACUUCCACCCAACUUUACUUCCUUAAUUUCCUCUCCUUCACCCAAGGUCAGACCAGCAUCAGGUUCUAACACUCUCCCAGCAACCCCCCCUACCCCAGCUCCCUCCCCAUUUUCUCUUACAGGUGCUUUUCCUAAUAGAUUUCUCACACAUUUAAGCCCAUCUGUGUCUGCUUCUCAGAGGACCCGGAAUAACCUAAGGGGCCCUGGGAGUGGUCCAAGGAAACAAGAGGUAAGAUGGGGACGUGAGACUGGUUCAUCCACCACACGGCAGGUGAGGGGACACAGUCCUGGUUGCUAGGUGAGGCACAGAUGGUCCCUGGAGUAAGGUGGUGACUUAAUUAAAAAGAUUUCAUCAGUGGCGACCUGGGAAAACAUCCUGGUGGAGGGGAAUGCUGUGGCAGUUUCAAUGAUGCAAACGUUUGAAAAAUAUGGGGAACAAUGCCUCUCAGACUAGGGAGUUGGCUGGUUACUACUAAGUUGUAUUAAUACCCUGCAGAAGGAUAAUGAGAGAGCGAGGGCAUUGAACAAGCAGUCAGUGGCGAAGCGUGAGGGUCAUCACACCUAGUGGCAGCUUACACAGAGGUCCUGAUCACCUGUGAGUAGAGGGCAAAACCAAUUGAAGAGCAUGCUGGAGCCCUGAGAACUGCAAAGCUCCAGAGAUAUUUGAAUCAAGCUCAAGCAAGGCUGGUCUGUGAUAUGAAGGACAGCAUCUUGGUGUGAAAACCUGGGACCCUGAAAUAUGAGACAGGGACAUGUGGAUGGGUGCCCCUGAGGAUACUGAGUCUGCUGGCUCCCAAGCCAUAUCUAUGGUUAAGUGCCCGCAUAACCCAGCUGGAGAUGUGGUGGGCCCAGUAAGGGAGGAAACUGACUAUGCACUUAGCAAGUCGCAAGAAUUACUGCUAUGUAACGACAGGAGCUUGGGGUCUAUCCCCGGGAUUGGAUUUUGAGGAGACUUGAUCAAAGGAGCCAGAAGAUAACACUGGAUAAGCAAGAAUUCAUGGACUUGGGGGCACUUUUUUGGGAAAUGGGAUUUAACAUUCCAGGAGGCACCCCAGGGUGAGGCAACCACCGCAGCUGGCUGUUAGAAGCCUGGAAAAACAACGGUCAACCUCAGGGAAGUGGAACUUCCUGAAUUAUCCUGACAAAUGGUAGGGGAAGAAGAGUCUGAGGGACAAGGCAUGUUGGAACUAUCAUAACAUAUAAAAGGCCAGAAGCCCGACCAGAAGACACAUCGUUCUCCAAGGCCAUCUGGAAUGCACUGGAGAGGAGCACAGCAUCGCUAGUUCAGCGGGAGCCUCCUCUGCAGAACAGGACAAGUUCUCUGCCGCCUCCUUCCCUGCGUGCUGGCCUUCCAGGGCCCAUCCAGCCUCCACCUCCGUGUCCUGCAAUCACUGCUGUCCUCCAACCUUGGAGGGACCCGUUCAUGGGCAGAGGCAGGGUCAGGCCUCAGCAUCCCACAGCAUCUUGGGGCAGGGCAUGGAAGCAGCUGUCACUGCUUGGGCUGGCAGUAUUACGGUAUACCUGGUGGGUGACACACCAGAGGCUGUGUCUUGAUGGAGGUUGUGGAGCCAGCCCUGCCUAUGGGAGACAAGCAAUGAGUGAAGUUCUGUAUGACGUCCUGCUCAGAGUUCUGACUCAGUAGGUCUGAGGUCCUGCAUUUCUACCAAGUUCCACGCUGCUGCUCUGGUCUAUGGACCACACUUUGAGUGACAGGAGUUUAGAUCACCUUUUCCUGGGAUUCAGUGACGUGGGAAGAAGGGACGAGAAUAACACCAGGUGGAG
rnacentral:lncRNA from 1 species